CACAUAGUGCAGACACUGGAAGAGUAUGCAGCUCAUCGUACAAGCAGUAUCUGUCCCUCGCCAAGGAAAAGACCUCAUUGUGUAAACAGGUUGUUCUCAAACUCGUUCAAGACAAGACUGACCUUGAGCUCCUGCUGCCACUUCCCCGGUCGUGGUCCCACCAUGCCUUGCUUAAGUGGUUCCCAGAGAUGGAACUAUAGAAGGCUCUGUGUAUGGUAGGCAACCACUGUACCAACCGAGCCACGUCCGAGCUCAUAGGCAAUAGAAGACAACCCUAACUAAGAUGCUACUUAACCUUCAACAUGGGUUUGUUUGCCAGGGAGGCCACCUGGCUCAAACCAUCUAGCUCAGGUGGUUCUUAAUGCCCUCUGUGGAUCCAGAGACUGGCAACAGAUGUACCCUCAACCCAAGACCUAGGACCUCAUAAUGGAUGUUCUGAUUCUUCCCAAAUCCUCCAAAACCCAAGGCAGCACUUCGAAAAUGACAAACUCCAUGAAAGGCUGACGUGCUGGGGCACUAAUAUAGGUCUCAGACCUGAGGAUGGCGGGGAGAGUCAAGAGGAUACCUGUCCAAGAUGGAACCUGCAUCCUCCAGCUUCAGAUUCUGCAGAUGUCUGGGCCUGAGGCAUAGCAGCCAUCUCCUUCCCACCCAUCACCCAUGUUCACACCAUUUAUUCCAACCCAGCAAGUAUUUACUGAAUACCUCCUAAGGGGAAAGAUUCGCAAACAUCCUUCCUCUUUCAUCUCCUCAUAGGAACACAUUUUAGAUUGAAAAAGAUGUGUUACGAUCCUGUGAAGGAAAGAUCGACCCUGUCCCUGCCCAGGGACUUCGGGCUGAAAUGAGGAUGCUUGCCUCUCACCUUGAGCCAUAAAUAAUUGAAGAUACAAUCAGGGCAAUUCAGCCUGCCUGUGCCCUCCUCGCUCCACCAUGAGUUAGUGUGUGGCGUAGUCGCAAAUAUGGGGCUGUGUCAGCAGAUGCCUGAGAGCAUCCUGUACUGAAGCCCGCAAAGCAGGCCAGUGUUCACAUGCUGAAUUUGGAUUAGAGGGAGGGGAAGAGAUUUUUAAAUGCUACUAUGUUGAUUAACAACUGUGUGGUGAUUUUAUGAUACGACACCCGAUGAAUCAAAGCCAUUAAACUUGAUGUUUUAAUUAUUUACCGAA